UGGGGAAUAUUGGACAAUGGGCGAAAGCCUGAUCCAGCCAUGCCGCGUGUGUGAAGAAGGUCUUCGGAUUGUAAAGCACUUUAAGUUGGGAGGAAGGGCAGUAAGCGAAUACCUUGCUGUUUUGACGUUACCGACAGAAUAAGCACCGGCUAACUCUGUGCCAGCAGCCGCGGUAAUACAGAGGGUGCAAGCGUUAAUCGGAAUUACUGGGCGUAAAGCGCGCGUAGGUGGUUCGUUAAGUUGAAUGUGAAAGCCCCGGGCUCAACCUGGGAGCUGCAUCCAAAACUGGCGAGCUAGAGUAGGGCAGAGGGUGGUGGAAUUUCCUGUGUAGCGGUGAAAUGCGUAGAUAUAGGAAGGAACACCAGUGGCGAAGGCGACCACCUGGGCUCAUACUGACACUGAGGUGCGAAAGCGUGGGGAGCAAACAGG
rnacentral:rRNA from 1 species